AUUACAUAGCAGAAAUUAGCACUGAGCAUUUCAGAUGCUUCAAAACGAGUUUGCAGUUAUGUAUUUUGGCAGAUCAAGGGGAGAUGUUUUCUUUCAAAUGGAUUAACUCAAAGAAGUAAUUUGUUUUUUACAAUAAGGGUGUUGAGGCAGUGGCACAGGUUGCCCAGAGUGGUGGUGGACGCCCCAUCCAUGCAGAAACCCGAGGUCAGGCUGGAUGGGGCUCUGAGCACCUGAUGGAGCUGUAGGUGUCCCUGUUCAUUGCAGGGGAGUUGGACCAGAUGGCCUUCAAGGGUCCCUUCCAACUCAAAAAAUCCUAUGAUUCUAUGAAGUGAGACGCAUCCUAUGCCUACAAGAGAGUCCAGAAUGUCAGUGCUGAUUAAAAUACACAAUCCAAUAUAUGCUAUUUUAGUAGGAAUAUAAUUACAUGAAGGAAAAUUCAUUUUAGUGUAUUUGAGGAAAUAUAUCCCACACUUUUGUCUCUCUGUUUCACUUUGGUUACUACACAGAGUUGCCAACACCCACAGAAAGGGCAUCAAGAAUUAGGUACUGAUUGUUCUGUGGUGGUCCAGUUAUUCACUCAAGGAAACCCAUACACUUCUUUCUCUAUGAACUUCAAAAAUUUUCGACAGCUCCCUUCAAGGGCGGUGUCCUGGUUUCAGCAAAAAAAAGCGUUAGGGGCACACCGAGCUUCGGUCGCUGCUGAGCGGCGAGGCCGCACCCUGCGUCAGGCUGGGCCGCUGGGCGGGGCGGAGCCGCCGCCAUGAUGGACAGCAGCGGGGCCGGGGCGGGGCCGGGACUGAGUCCGCAUUGGGCAGGGGCUGUUCCAUACCGCGUGACGUCAGGCGGACGCCAUAAGGCUGUGGGAACGGCAGUGCUUGAUCGGCAGUUGUGGAGGUUGUGGUGUCGCCGUAGCUGUAGCUUUGUUUAUUGUUGUGUAUUCGUUGGUGGACGGAACAGGGAGCGCCUGCGGAGGAUGGCGAGUGCCUGCAGAGCAAGGGAGCACCUGCGGAUGAUGGGAGUACCUGCAGAGAAGAAGGAGGGUUUGCGGAGGACACAGUGCCGUCGGAGAAUACAGGUAGUGCGCCGGCGGAGGUUAGAGGUAGUGCGCUGUCAGAAGAUAGAGGUGGAGCAUCUGUGGAGGAUGGGAGCACUGUCAGAAGACAGAGGUAGUGCGCCGGUAGAGGUUAGAGGUAGUGCACCAUUGGAGGAUAAAGGUGGAGGGUUUGCGGAGGACGGGAACACCUGAGGAGAUGGGGAGUGCCUGCAGAGGACAGGAACGUCGUCAGAGGAUAGUGGUUGUGCGCUGGCAAAGGUUAGAGGUAGUGUGCUAGCAGAGGAAAGAGGUGCAACAGCUGCGGGGGAUGGGAGAGCCAUCAGAAGAUAGAGGUAGUGCGCCAGCAGAGGUUAGAUGUAGUGCGACAUUGGAAGAUAGAGGUGGAGUGUCUGUGGAGAAUGAAAGCACCUGCAGAGAACAGGGAGCGCCAGCAGAGGAUGGGAGCACCGUCAGAAGAUAGAGGUAGCACGCCGGUGGAGGUUAGAUGUAGUGUGCCAUCAGAGAAUAGAGGUGGAGUACCUGCAGAGGACAGGGAGCACCUGUGGGGAACAGGGAGCGCUUGCAGAGGACAGGAGCACCGUCAGAAUAUAGAGGUAGUGCGCCAGCAGAGGUUAGAGGUAGUGCACCAUUGGAGGACAGAGGUGGAUGGUCUGUGGAGGACAGGAGCACCUGAAGAAAACAGGGAGCACCUACGGGGGACGGGAGCUCAGUCAGAAGACAAAGGUAGCACCAGCAGAGAUUAGAGGUAACACACCAGCAGAGGAUAAGAGGUAGCACGCCGGCAAAGGUUAGAGGUAGUGCACUGUCAGACGAUAGAGGUGUAACGUAUGCGGAGAAAAAGAGGACCUGCGGAGAACAAGGAGUGCCAGCAGAUGAUGGGAGCACAAUCAGAAGAUAGAGGUAGCUUGCCGGCAGAGGUUAGAGGUAGUGCACUGUUGGAGGAUCAAAGUAGUGGGUCUGCGGAGAACAGGAGAACCUGCGGAGAACAGGGAGUGACUGCAGAGGACGGGAACACCGGCAGAAAACAGAAUUAGUGCACCGGCAGAGGUUAGAUGUAGUGCGCUGUUGGAGGAUAGAGGUGGAAUGUCUGCGGAGGAAAAGAGCACCUGCAGGGAACUGGAAGUAAUUGCGGAGGACAGGAGUGCCGUCAUAAGACAGAUUUAGUGCACUGGCAGAGGUUAGAUGUAGUGUGCCAUCAGAAGAUAUAGGUGGAGCAUCUGCGGAGGACAGGAGCAUCUGCGGAGAACACAGACGGCCUGCAGAUGAUGGGAGUGUUGUCAGAAGAUAGAGGUAGUGCGCUGGCAGAGGUUAGAUGUAGUGCCCCAUCAGAGGAUCGAGGUGGAGGGUCUAGGGAGGAAGAGAUCACCUGCAGAGAACAUGGAGAGCCUGUGCAGGACGGGAGCGCUGUCGAAAGACAGAGUUAGUGAGCUGGCAGAGUUUAGAUGCAGUGUGCCAUCACGGGAUAGAGGUGAAGAGUCUGCGGAGGACGGGAGCACCUGUGAAGAACAAAGAGUGCCUGCAGAUGACGGGAGCGCGAACAGAAGAUAGAGGUAGCACACUGGCAGUGGUUACAGGUAGUGCGCUGUCACAGGAUCGAAGUGCAAGGUCUGGGGAGGAUGGGAAUAUCUGUGGAGAUCAAGGAGUGCCUGCAGAUGAUGGAAGCAUGAUCUGAAGAUAGAGGUAGCUUGCAGGCAGAGGUUAGAGGUAGUGUGCUGUUGGAGGAUUGAGGUGGAGGGUCUGCAGAGGACGGGAGCACCUGCGGCAAGCAGGGACUGACUGCGGAGAACGGGAGUGCUGUCAGAAGGAAUAGCUAGUGAACCGGCAGAGGUUAGAGGUAGUGUGCCUUGAGAGGAUAUAGGUGGAACAUCUGCCGAGAAUGGGAGCACGUGUAGAGAACACAGAGCGCCAGCAGAUGAUGGGAGCGUUGUAAGAAGAUAGAGGUAGUGCGCCGGCAGAGGUCAGAGGUAGUGCGCUGUCUGAGGAUAGAUGUGGAGCGUCUGCAGAGGACAAGAGCAUCUGCGGAGAACACAGACGGCUUGCAUAUAAUGGGAGCGUGGUUAGAAGAUUGAGGUAGUGCGCCGGCAGAGGUUAGAGGUAUUGUGCCAUCAGAGGACCGAGGUGGAGGGUCUGCGGAGGAUCGGAGCACCUGCGGAGAACAGGGAGCACCUGUGGAGGACGGGAGCGCUGUUAGAAGGCAUAGUUAGUGCGCCGGCAGAGGUUAGAUGUAGUGUGCCUUCAGAAAAUAGAGGUGGAGCAUCUGUGGAGCAUAGGAGCACCUGCGGAGAACAGGGAGCAUGUGCGGAGGACGGGAGCGCUGUCAGAAGGCUUAGUUAGUGCGCCGGCAGAGGUUAGAUGCAGUGUGCCUUCAGAGGAUAUAAGUGGAGCAUCUGCGGAGGAUAGGAGCAACUGCAGAGAGCACAGAGCGCCGGCAGAUGAUGGGAGCGUUGUCAGAAGAUAGAGGUAGUGCGCCGGCAGAGUUUAGAGGUAGUGCAUCAUCAGAGGAUAUACGUGAAGCGUCUGCGGAGGACAAGAGCAUCUGCGGCGAACAGAGACCACUUGCAGAUGAUGGGAGCGUGGUUAGGAGAUAGAGGUAGUGCGCCAGCAGAGGUUAGAGGUAUUGUGCCAUCAGAGGAUCGAGGUGGAGGGUCUGCGAAGGAUGGGAGCACCUGCAGCGAACAGGGAGCACCUGCGGAGGACAGGAGUGCUGUCAGAAGACAUAGUUAGUGCGCCGGCAGAGGUUAGAUGUAGUGCAUCAUCAGAGGAUCGAGUUGGAGCGUCUGCAGAGGACAAGAGCAUCUGCGGAGAACAGUGACCGCUUGCAGAUGAUGGGAGCGUGGUUAGAAGAUAGAGGUAGUGCGCCGGCAGAGGUUAGAGGUAAUGUGUCAUCAGAGGAUUGAGGUGGAGAGUCUGCAGAGGAUCGGAGCACCUGAGGAGAACAGGAAGCGAUUGCCAAGGACAGGAGCACCAUCAGAAGACAGAGUUAGUGCGCCGGCAGAGGUUAUAUGUAGUGUGCCUUCAGAGGAUAGAGGUGGAGCAUCUGCGGAGGAUAGGAGCACCUGCGGAGGACAGGAAGCAAUUGCCAAGGACAGGAGCACCAUCAGAAGACAGAGUUAGUGCGCUGGCAGAGGUCAGAUGUAGUGCAUCAUCCGAGGACAGAUGUGGAGCGUCUGCAGAGGACAAGAUUAUCUGCGGAGGUCAAGGAGUGCCUGCAGAUGUUAGGAGUAUUGUCAGAAGAUAGAGGUAGUGCGCCGGCAGAGGUCAGAGGUAGUGCGCUGUCUGAGGAUAGAUGUGGAGCGUCUGCAGAGGACAAGAGCAUCUGCGGAGAACACAGACGGCUUGCAUAUAAUGGGAGCGUGGUUAGAAGAUUGAGGUAGUGCGCCGGCAGAGGUUAGAGGUAUUGUGCCAUCAGAGGACCGAGGUGGAGGGUCUGCGGAGGAUCGGAGCACCUGCGGAGAACAGGGAGCACCUGUGGAGGACGGGAGCGCUGUUAGAAGGCAUAGUUAGUGCGCCGGCAGAGGUUAGAUGUAGUGUGCCUUCAGAAAAUAGAGGUGGAGCAUCUGUGGAGGAUAGGAGCACCUGCGGAGAACAGGGAGCACCUGUGGAGGACGGGAGCGCUGUUAGAAGGCAUAGUUAGUGCGCCGGCAGAGGUUAGAUGCAGUGUGCCUUCAGAGGAUAGAGGUGGAGCAUCUGCGGAGGAUAGGAGCACCUGCGGAGGACAUAGAACACCUGAAGAUGAUGGGAGGGCUGUCGGAAUGCAUAGUUAGUGCGCCAGCAGAGGUUAGAUGUAGUGCAUCAUCAGAGGAUUGAGGUGGAGCAUUGGCAGAGGACGGGAACACCUACAGAGAUCAAGGAGUGCCUGCAGAUGACGGGAGCGUUGUCAGAAGAUAGAGGUAGUGCGCCGGCAGAGUUUCGAGGUAGUGCAUCAUCAGAGGAUAUACGUGAAGCGUCUGCGGAGGACAAGAGCAUCUGCGGAGAACAGAGACCACUUGCAGAUGAUGGGAGCGUGGUUAGGAGAUAGAGGUAGUGCGCCAGCAGAGGUUAGAGGCAUUGUGCCAUCAGAGGAUCGAGGUGGAGGGUCUGCGAAGGAUGGGAGCACCUGCAGCGAACAGGGAGCACCUGCGGAGGACAGGAGCGCUGUCAGAAGACAUAGUGCGCCGGCAGAGGUUAGAUGUAGUGCAUCAUCAGAGGAUCGAGUUGGAGCAUCUGCGGAGGACAAGACCAUCUGUGGAGAACAGAGACUGCUUACAGAUGAUGGGAGCGUGGUUAGAAGAUAUAGGUAUUGUGCCAGCAGAGGUUAGAGGUAGUGUGCCAUCAGAGGAUCAAGGUGGAGUGUCUGCGGAGGAUCGGAGUACCUCAUGAGAACAGGGAGCACCUGCGGAGGACAGGAGUGCUGUCAGCAGGCAUAGUUAGUGCGCCGGCAGAGGUUAGAUGUAGUGUGCCUUCAGAGGAUAGAUGUAAAGCACCUGUGGUUGAUGGGGUUACCUGCAGAGAACACAGAACAUCUGUAGAUGAUGGCAGCACUGUCAGAAUGCAUAGUUAGUGCCCCGGCAGAGGAUAGAGGUAGUGCACUCUCAGAGGAUAGAGCUGGAACUUCUGCGGAGGAUGGGAGCACCUGCGGAGAACAGGAAGCGAUUGCCAAGGACAGGAGCACCAUCAGAAGACAGAGUUAGUGCGCCGGCAGAGGUUACAUGUAGUGCAUCAUCAGAGGAUCGAGUUGGAGCGUUUGCGGAGGACGAGAGCAUCUGCGGAGAACAGAGACUGCUUGCAGAUGAUGGGAGCGUGGUUAGAAGAUAGAGGUAGUGCGCCGGCAGAGGUUAGAGGUAGUGUGCCAUCAGAGGAUCGAGGUGGAGGGUCUGCGGAGGAUCGUAGCACCUGCGGAGAACAGGGAGCACCUCUGGAGGACGGGAGCACUGUCAGAAGGCAUAGUUAGUGCGCCGGCAGAGGUUAGAUGUAGUGCAUCAUCAGAGGAUAAAGGUGGAGCAUCUGCAGAGGACAGGAGCACCUGUGGAGAACAAGGAGCGCCUGCAGAUGAUGGGUGCGCUGUCAGAAGAAAGAGGUAGCAUGCUGGCAGAGGUUAGAGGUAGUGCUCUGUCACUGGAUCGACGUUGAGGGUCUGCGGAGGAUGGGAGCACCUGUGGUGAACAGGGAGUGACUGUGGAGGACAGGAGCGCCGUCAGAAGACAGAAUUAGUGCGCCGGCAGAGGUUAUAUGUAGUGUGCCAUCACGGGAUAGAGGUGGAGCAUCUGCCGAGGACAGGAGCACCUGCGGAAAACAGGGAGCACCUGCAGAUGACGGGAGCACCAUCUGAAGAUAGAGGUCGUGCGCCGUCGGAGGUUAGCAGUAGCAUCCUGGCAGAGGAUAAGAGUUAGCGCGCUAUCGGAGGUUAGAGGUAGUGUGCUGUUCGUGGAUAGAGGUAGAAUGUCAGUGGUUGAAAGGAGCACCUGUGGAGAACAGGGAGUGAUUGCAGAGGAUGGGAUCACCGUCAGAAAACAGAGUUUGUUUGCUGGCAGAGGUUAGAUGUAGUGCGCCAUCCGAUGAUAGAGGUGGAGUUUCUACGGAGUACGGGAGCACCUGCAGAGAACAAGGUGUGCCUGCAAAUGACAGGAGCGCGAUCGGAAGAUAGAGGUAGAAGAUAGUGCACAGGCGGAGGUUACCGGUAGUGCGCUGUCGGAGCAUCAAGGUGGAGGUUCUGUUUCGCCAUCCGAUGAUAGAGGUGGAGUUUCUACGGAGGAUGGGAGCACCUGCGUAGAACAGGGAGCGCCUGCGGACGAUGGGAGCACCGUAAGAAAAUAGAAGUAAUUCGCUGGCUGGGUUUUGCAAUAGCAUGCCUUCAGAAGAUUGAGGUGGAUUGCCUCCAGAGGACGGUGAGCGCCUGUAGAGGACAGGAGCACCUGUGGAGAACAGGGAUUGCCUGCACAGUAUGGGAACAUCAUCAGAGUGUAGAGGUAGUGCACCGGCAGAGGAUUGAGGAAGUGCGCCAGCAGAGGAAAGAGGUGCGGCACCUGUGGGGGAUGGGAGCACCGUCAGAAGAUUGAGGUAGCACGCCAGCGGAGGUUAGAGGUAGCGUGCCAUUGGAGGAUGGAUGUAGUGCACCGGCCGAGGUUGGAUGUAGUGUUCUGUCAGAUGAUAGAGGUGGAGUGCCUGUGGAGGACAGCGAGUGCCUGCAGAGGACGAGAGCACCUGAGGAAAACAGGAAGCACCUGCGGAGGACUGGAGCGCCGUUAGAAGAUAGAGGUAUCUCGCUGGCUGAGUUUAGUGGUAACACACCAGCAACGGAUAGACGUAGUGUGCCGCCAGUGGAUAGAGGUAGAGCGCCAGCAGAAGAUAGGAGGUAGGACACUGGUGGAGGUUACAGAUAGUGCGCCGUCGGAGGAUAGAUGUGGAGCAUUUGCGGAGGAUGGGAGUAGCUGAGGAGAACAGGGAGUGCCGGCGGAUGACAGGAGCACUGUCAGAAGAUAGAGGUAGCGCGCCAUUGGAUGAUAGUGAUGGAGCAUCUGCGGAGGAUGGGAGCACCUGCGGAGAACAGGGAACGUCUGCAGAGAAUGGGAGCACCGUCAGACGAUAGAGGUAGCGCGUCAGUGGAGUUUAGAGAUAGCGCGCUUCCAGAAGACAGAGGUGGAGCACCUGCUGAGGGCGGCAAGCACCUGUAGAGGACGGGAGCACCUGCGGAGAAUAGGGAGCGCCUGCCGAGGACAGAGCACCGUCAGAAGAUAGAGGUAGCGCGCCAGCAGAGGAUAAGAGGUAGCACCCUGGCGGAGGUUACAGGUUGUGUGCCAUUGGAGGAUAGAUGUGGAGCACCAGCAGAGGACAGCGAGCGCCUGCAGAGGACGGGAGCAUCUGCAGAGAACAGGGAGCACCUGCGGCGGACGGGAGCGCCAUCGGAGUAUAGAUGCAACGCGCCGGCGGAGAUUAGAGGAAGCACACCUGCGGAGGUUACUAGCGCGCUGUCAGAGGAUAGAAGUGGAGUGCCAUUGGAGGACAGCGAGCACCUGCGGAGGACAGGAGCGCCAGCAGAAGAUAGAGGAAGUGCCACAUGCGCUUUCCCUCAUCCUAAUUUCUUUCUAUUAUUUUUUUCAUUAAAUAUAUAUUUCUCAAAUCAUU
ensembl:lncRNA